GGGAUCACCAAGAGAUGGAUUUAAAAUCCAGUUCUGUCUUUGUAGAACUGGUUGUGUCAUCCUGAGGAAGUUGUUUAGCCUUCUUAAACCUUUUGCAUAUUAAUAAACUGGAAUUAGAAGAAAGCUUACCUUAAUAGAUGGUAGUGAGAAUUCAGUGCCCUAAUGUGUGUGAGCACAAUAACAGCACUUGAAAUGUAGUAGUAGAUAACUGCUCAGUAUAUAUUGUUCCCAGCAUUAUAUUAAGACUCACUAGUAAACUUCCCUUUCAAGACUUGCAAGAGAUAGUUGAUUUAGACAAUCAUUUAUCCAGCACACAUUUGAUGAGAGACUAUUGAGUGCAAAGGUGGUCUGUAUAAUUGUAUGUGUGUUUGUAUAUAAAUAUGUGUGUGUGUGUGUGUGUGUGUGUGUGUGUGUGUGU